GACGAACCGUGCGAACGUUGUUCGGAAUCACUGGGCUUAAAGGGCGCGUAGGCGGGUGUGCAAGUCUGUGGUGAAAGCCUCCAGCUUAACUGGAGAAGUGCCAUGGAUACUGCACAUCUUGAGGAGGGUAGGGGCAUCUGGAACGGUCGGUGGAGCGGUGAAAUGCGUUGAUAUCGACCGGAACUCCGGUGGCGAAGGCGAGGUGCUGGACCCUUCUGACGCUGAGGCGCGAAAGCUAGGGGAGCAAACAGG
rnacentral:rRNA from 1 species